CACGUAGGGGACGAGCGUUGUCCGGAUUCAUUGGGCGUAAAGGGCUCGUAGGCGGUUUGUCGCGUCGGGCGUGAAAACAUCCAGCUUAACUGGGUGCUUGCUUUCGAUACGGGCAGACUAGAGGUAUGCAGGGGAGAACGGAAUUCCUGGUGUAGCGGUGAAAUGCGCAGAUAUCAGGAGGAACACCGGUGGCGAAGGCGGUUCUCUGGGCAUGAUCUGACGCUGAGGAGCGAAAGUGUGGGGAGCGAACAGG
rnacentral:rRNA from 1 species